rfam:Heterorhabditis bacteriophora unplaced genomic scaffold Scaffold1340, whole genome shotgun sequence.
ACCGGGCGUCGUGGCGGGCGCCUGUGAGCCAGCCUCUUGGCGGUAGAACGGAGUGGAUGGAGUGAGGGGAGGAGUCCUGUGAGAGAUGUCGGUUACGACGACCGGGCGUCCGCGCCAAGCGACGCGUCGCCAGGGGCGUGCGGCCGUAGGGUUGCUCGUCCCGGGCGGUCAAGGAGGGGUGUACGGCUCAGGCCCGCAAGGGAGCAGGCAGAAAUCCCCGCGCGUUGCAGUGGCCGGAUCGCGCCCGUGAGUUCCCACACUAUCACAGCCUCUCCAAUACCCUCAGACCUCCGUUCGA